rnacentral:rRNA from 1 species
UACGUAGGGUGCGAGCGUUUAAUCGGAAUUACUGGGCGUAAAGCGUGCGCAGGCGGCGCGUUAAGACAGGUGUGAAAGCCCCGAGCUUAACUUGGGAAUUGCGCUUGUGACUGGCGUGCUGGAGUGUGGCAGAGGGAGGUGGAAUUCCACGUGUAGCAGUGAAAUGCGUAGAGAUGUGGAGGAACACCGAUGGCGAAGGCAGCCUCCUGGGCCAGCACUGACGCUCAUGCACGGAAGCGUGGGGAGCAAACAGG